AUGAGGCUGGUGACUGGAGUAGCUGUGCUUCUGACCUGGGGGACUGUGAUUGAGGCUGAGAUUGACCAGCCCAAAUCCAAGGAUUUUGCUGAAGGAGAAGACGUAAACCUGCCUUGCAACCACUCUACCGUCGGUGGAAAUGACUAUAUACACUGGUAUCGGCAAAGGCCCAGUCAGAGUCCACAGUAUAUCAUUCAUGGCUUUCGAGACACUGUGACCAACAACAUGGCCUCUCUGACCACAGCGACAGACAGAAAGUCCAGCAGCUUGGUCCUGCCCCGGGUCGCCCUGAGAGACAGCGCUGUGUACUACUGCGCCCUGAGAGAGGCACAGCGGGACCGACGGGGCUGCACCUGUGCAGUAUCUCCCUGGUGGCAAGGCGGGGAGGGACGGGGAGGCUGCAGCCACUGA